rnacentral:rRNA from 1 species
UACGGGAGGCAGCAGUGGGGAAUAUUGCACAAUGGGCGCAAGCCUGAUGCAGCCAUGCCGCGUGUAUGAAGAAGGCCUUCGGGUUGUAAAGUACUUUCAGUCGUGAGGAAGGUGUUAAGGUUAAUAACCUUAGCAAUUGACGUUAGCGACAGAAGAAGCACCGGCUAACUCCGUGCCAGCAGCCGCGGUAAUACGGAGGGUGCGAGCGUUAAUCGGAAUUACUGGGCGUAAAGGGCACGUAGGCGGUUAAUUAAGUUGGAUGUGAAAUCCCCGGGCUUAACCUGGGAAUGGCAUUCAAGACUGGUUAGCUAGAGUCUUGUAGAGGGGGUAGAAUUCCAUGUGUAGCGGUGAAAUGCGUAGAGAUGUGGAGGAAUACCGGUGGCGAAGGCGGCCCCUGGACAAAGACUGACGCUCAUGUGCGAAAGCGUGGGGAGCAAACAGGGAUUAGAUACC